rnacentral:rRNA from 1 species
GACGAACGCUGGCGGCGUGCUUAACACAUGCAAGUCGAACGGAAAGGCCCUGCUUUUGUGGGGUGCUCGAGUGGCGAACGGGUGAGUAACACGUGAGUAACCUGCCCUUGACUUUGGGAUAACUUCAGGAAACUGGGGCUAAUACCGUAUAGGAGCUCCUGCUGCAUGGUGGGGGUUGGAAAGUUUCGGCGGUUGGGGAUGGACUCGCGGCUUAUCAGCUUGUUGGUGGGGUAGUGGCUUACCAAGGCUUUGACGGGUAGCCGGCCUGAGAGGGUGACCGGCCACAUUGGGACUGAGAUACGGCACAGACUCCUACGGGAGGCAGCAGUGGGGAAUAUUGCACAAUGGGCGGAAGCCUGAUGCAGCAACGCCGCGUGCGGGAUGACGGCCUUCGGGUUGUAAACCGCUUUCGCCUGUGACGAAGCGUGAGUGACGGUAAUGGGUAAAGAAGCACCGGCUAACUACGUG